rnacentral:rRNA from 1 species
GAGUUUGAUCCUGGCUCAGGAUGAACGCUGGCGGCGUGCCUAACACAUGCAAGUCGAGCGGAGUUGCGGAGUAGUUUACUACGAAGUAACUUAGCGGCGGACGGGUGAGUAACGCGUGGAUAACCUGCCCUAUGCAGAGGGAUAACACACCGAAAGGUGUGCUAAUACCGCAUAACACUUAAGAAUCGCAUGAUUUUUAAGUCAAAGAUUUAUCGGCAUAGGAUGGAUCCGCGUCUGAUUAGCUAGUUGGUGAGGUAAAGGCUCACCAAGGCGACGAUCAGUAGCCGACCUGAGAGGGUGAUCGGCCACACUGGAACUGAGACACGGUCCAGACUCCUACGGGAGGCAGCAGUGGGGAAUAUUGCACAAUGGGGGAAACCCUGAUGCAGCAACGCCGCGUGAGCGAAGAAGGCCUUCGGGUCGUAAAGCUCUGUCCUAAGGGAAGAAUAAUGACGGUACCUUAGGAGGAAGCCCCGGCUAACUACGUGCCAGCAGCCGCGGUAAUACGUAGGGGGCAAGCGUUAUCCGGAAUCACUGGGCGUAAAGGGUGCGUAGGCGGCCUACAAAGUCUGGGGUGAAAGGCUACGGCUUAACCGUAGUAAGCCUUGGAAACUUGUGGGCUUGAGUGCAGGAGAGGAGAGUGGAAUUCCUAGUGUAGCGGUGAAAUGCGUAGAUAUUAGGAGGAACACCAGUGGCGAAGGCGACUCUCUGGACUGUAACUGACGCUGAGGCACGAAAGCGUGGGGAGCGAACAGGAUUAGAUACCCUGGUAGUCCACGCCGUANACGAUGAGUGCUAGGUGUCGGAGUCGACAGACUUCGGUGCCGCAGCUAACGCAUUAAGCACUCCGCCCUGGGGAGUACGCUCGCAANAGUG